rnacentral:misc_RNA from 1 species
GCAAACUUGGUCAUUUAGAGGAAGUAAAAGUCGUAACAAGGUUUCCGUAGGUGAACCUGCGGAAGGAUCAUUAGUGAAUGUGCACCCUUUGUGGUGCCUCCACACCUCCUGCCCCCUGGGGCUGAGGAUUCACACACCUGUGCACCCUGCUGGCCACGCCUUCUCAGGCUGUGCCUGUUUUUUUCUACACCAUCUCUGAAAUGUUUGUUGAACGCAUUUAUGAUAUGAGAAAACAACUUUCAACAAUGGAUCUCUUGGCUCUCGCAUCGAUGAAGAACGCAGC